rnacentral:rRNA from 1 species
GUGUCAGCAGCCGCGGUAAUACGGAGGGGGCUAGCGUUGUUCGGAAUUACUGGGCGUAAAGCGCACGUAGGCGGACCGGAAAGUCAGAGGUGAAAUCCCAGGGCUCAACCUUGGAACUGCCUUUGAAACUCCUGGUCUUGAGGUCGAGAGAGGUGAGUGGAAUUCCGAGUGUAGAGGUGAAAUUCGUAGAUAUUCGGAGGAACACCAGUGGCGAAGGCGGCUCACUGGCUCGAUACUGACGCUGAGGUGCGAAAGCGUGGGGAGCAAACAGGAUUAGAUACCCCGGUAGUCC